UAUAAAACAAAGAGAAAGACAUCCUUGAUAAAUUAUCUUUUCAGAGAGAGAAUGACUGCUGCAACAUUCUUAAGACUAAUUAUCAUUGACCCCUUUCGAGUGCUAUUUUGAAACUGAGUAAAAAUAGUCGUAGCCUCUGCGUUAAAGAGUAAUGAAGGUAGAAAACACUUAAUCAUGUGUUUCUACAAAUUUGGGUGGAACCACGUAGAAUUUAACGUCCCAUUG
rnacentral:ncRNA from 1 species